rnacentral:rRNA from 1 species
UGGGGAAUAUUGGACAAUGGGCGCAAGCCUGAUCCAGCCAUGCCGCGUGAGUGGUGAAGGCCUUAGGGUUGUAAAGCUCUUUUAGCGGGGAAGAUAAUGACGGUACCCGCAGAAAAAGCCCCGGCUAACUUCGUGCCAGCAGCCGCGGUAAUACGAAGGGGGCUAGCGUUGCUCGGAAUUACUGGGCGUAAAGCGCACGUAGGCGGACUCUUAAGUCGGUGGUGAAAUCCUGGAGCUCAACUCCAGAACUGCCUUCGAUACUGGGAGUCUUGAGUUCGGGAGAGGUGAGUGGAACUGCGAGUGUAGAGGUGAAAUUCGUAGAUAUUCGCAAGAACACCAGUGGCGAAGGCGGCUCACUGGCCCGAUACUGACGCUGAGGUGCGAAAGCGUGGGGAGCAAACA